CCGAAGGUGUAAUUUACCUCUCAAAUUAUAAUGUAAAUACACUUUCCUAACAAAUAAUGCCAUCCAAGACUUGCAAAAAGCUAAGGGCAUAUUUGGUUCAUGAUUGGAAUAGGAAUGAAAAAUGAAUUGAAUUGUUUUGGAAUAGAAAAUGGAAUAAUGAACCAUCCAAAAAAUGUUUGAUUCAUUAUUGGAAUAGAAAACAGAAUGAGAAUCUAGAAUUUUGAGAGAAUGUUUUGAUUAAGAUAGAGGAAAGUAAUGAAGUGAGAGGAAGAGAAAGUGUUGUGAGAGAGGAUUUGAGUAGAACUUUACUUUAGAAUAGGUCAAUUCAGGAUUUAAAGCUAGAUUUGAUCAUAAAUUGAUUUGGCCAUUUCCAUUGUAAAGUGGAAUAGGAAUCGAAAUUUAAUUCUUGUAAAAUAAACAGUAACUAUCAAAAUCAAUGAAUCUCAUUCUUAUUCUAUAGUCUAAAAUAGAUGAGCCAAACAUGUCCUAAAAUCAAACUCCGAUCUUACUUAUAGAAAAGGAAAUAUUCGUUCCAACAACAUAUCAGUGAACAACGUACCGACUGUCCCUAGAGCAAAUGGCAAUGGGCUUGGUGGUUGGUACCCGAGGUCCCAAGUUCGAACCCUAAUUGAUUCACAUUUCCUGCUAAGUUUAUUUUUAAAUAAAAUAAACAAAGCAGGUAGCGUGCUAUGUAUCUCUAAAAAAAAAACAUAUCAGCGAACAACUUAUUCUAAAAUCCCAACAAAUCUUAAGUACGUUUU
rnacentral:lncRNA from 1 species